AAGAAAGAUAAGAGUAAAAUACAGCUGGGUUGACUCAUCACAGAAUAUGCUGAGAUAGUCUAUAUUCAACAUGUUAAAGUUAAUACCUGUUUAGUUUAGGCUUUGUUUAUCCUUAUCAAGGUGGGAAAACAAAACCAGAAAUCUAUGAUGGUGUGUUUAAGCUAUUUUCAAGUAAUUGCCGGCCCAAUACAUGCUGCUCUUAU